rnacentral:miRNA from 1 species
GAACUCACCCUCUGCUCCCAG